rnacentral:lncRNA from 1 species
GACAUUUCCUUGUUCUUAAGAAUCCCUUGAAUUUCAUAUUUUCUGUCUCCCAAGGAACAGCAACGAGAGAGAUCCUUCUGGGAGGAAUCAUCAUCUUGUACUCAGAGCUGUGACCAGGAAUAGGGCAACUUGAACUCCGACUUACUUCACUGUGCCUCAGCUUCCCAGUCAUAACCUUGGGGUCCCAGUUGUUCCCUGCAGAUGUGUCAGCAAUAGAAGUUUCUCAGCAAGUCUCAGCAGAGAUGAAAACUUCAGCAAAACACGCAGAAAGAGCUGUCUAAAAAGUAUAAAAAAUGGAGUGUCCAUGUAGCUGCUCCUGAGGUCUCUGGAAGUUGCAGUCCAGAAAUACAGCAGCAGGACUCUGCAGGGUUGCUCAUCACCUCCUCCUCCUGCUUCCAGGUACCUCUGGGAUUUGUGGUCCACAGUUG